rnacentral:tRNA from 1 species
GGGUAUAUAGGUCAGUGGUAGACUGUGUGUUUAGCAUGCACUAGGUCCUUGGUUCAGUCCCUAGUACCUCCA